rnacentral:rRNA from 1 species
UUAAGCGACUAAGCGUACACGGUGGAUGCCCUGGCAGUCAGAGGCGAUGAAGGACGUGCUAAUCUGCGAUAAGCGUCGGUGAGGUGAUAUGAACCGUUAUAACCGGCGAUUUCCGAAUGGGGAAACCCAGUGUGUUUCGACACACUAUCAUUAACUGAAUCCAUAGGUUAAUGAGGCGAACCGGGGGAACUGAAACAUCUAAGUACCCCGAGGAAAAGAAAUCAACCGAGAUUCCCCCAGUAGCGGCGAGCGAACGGGGAGGAGCCCAGAGCCUGAAUCAGUGUGUGUGUUAGUGGAAGCGUCUGGAAAGGCGUGCGAUACAGGGUGACAGCCCCGUACACAAAAAUGCACAUGCUGUGAGCUCGAUGAGUAGGGCGGGACACGUGGUAUCCUGUCUGAAUAUGGGGGGACCAUCCUCCAAGGCUAAAUACUCCUGACUGACCGAUAGUGAACCAGUACCGUGAGGGAAAGGCGAAAAGAACCCCGGCGAGGGGAGUGAAAAAGAACCUGAAACCGUGUACGUACAAGCAGUGGGAGCCUCUUAAUGGGGUGACUGCGUACCUUUUGUAUAAUGGGUCAGCGACUUAUAUUCUGUAGCAAGGUUAACCGAAUAGGGGAGCCGAAGGGAAACCGAGUCUUAACUGGGCGUUAAGUUGCAGGGUAUAGACCCGAAACCCGGUGAUCUAGCCAUGGGCAGGUUGAAGGUUGGGUAACACUAACUGGAGGACCGAACCGACUAAUGUUGAAAAAUUAGCGGAUGACUUGUGGCUGGGGGUGAAAGGCCAAUCAAACCGGGAGAUAGCUGGUUCUCCCCGAAAGCUAUUUAGGUAGCGCCUCGUGAAUUCAUCUCCGGGGGUAGAGCACUGUUUCGGCAAGGGGGUCAUCCCGACUUACCAACCCGAUGCAAACUGCGAAUACCGGAGAAUGUUAUCACGGGAGACACACGGCGGGUGCUAACGUCCGUCGUGAAGAGGGAAACAACCCAGACCGCCAGCUAAGGUCCCAAAGUCAUGGUUAAGUGGGAAACGAUGUGGGAAGGCCCAGACAGCCAGGAUGUUGGCUUAGAAGCAGCCAUCAUUUAAAGAAAGCGUAAUAGCUCACUGGUCGAGUCGGCCUGCGCGGAAGAUGUAACGGGGCUAAACCAUGCACCGAAGCUGCGGCAGCGACGCUUAUGCGUUGUUGGGUAGGGGAGCGUUCUGUAAGCCUGUGAAGGUGUGCUGUGAGGCAUGCUGGAGGUAUCAGAAGUGCGAAUGCUGACAUAAGUAACGAUAAAGCGGGUGAAAAGCCCGCUCGCCGGAAGACCAAGGGUUCCUGUCCAACGUUAAUCGGGGCAGGGUGAGUCGACCCCUAAGGCGAGGCCGAAAGGCGUAGUCGAUGGGAAACAGGUUAAUAUUCCUGUACUUGGUGUUACUGCGAAGGGGGGACGGAGAAGGCUAUGUUGGCCGGGCGACGGUUGUCCCGGUUUAAGCGUGUAGGCUGGUUUUCCAGGCAAAUCCGGAAAACCAAGGCUGAGGCGUGAUGACGAGGCACUACGGUGCUGAAGCGACAAAUGCCCUGCUUCCAGGAAAAGCCUCUAAGCAUCAGGUAACAUCAAAUCGUACCCCAAACCGACACAGGUGGUCAGGUAGAGAAUACCAAGGCGCUUGAGAGAACUCGGGUGAAGGAACUAGGCAAAAUGGUGCCGUAACUUCGGGAGAAGGCACGCUGAUAUGUAGGUGAAGCGACUUGCUCGUGGAGCUGAAAUCAGUCGAAGAUACCAGCUGGCUGCAACUGUUUAUUAAAAACACAGCACUGUGCAAACACGAAAGUGGACGUAUACGGUGUGACGCCUGCCCGGUGCCGGAAGGUUAAUUGAUGGGGUUAGCGGCAACGCGAAGCUCUUGAUCGAAGCCCCGGUAAACGGCGGCCGUAACUAUAACGGUCCUAAGGUAGCGAAAUUCCUUGUCGGGUAAGUUCCGACCUGCACGAAUGGCGUAAUGAUGGCCAGGCUGUCUCCACCCGAGACUCAGUGAAAUUGAACUCGCUGUGAAGAUGCAGUGUACCCGCGGCAAGACGGAAAGACCCCGUGAACCUUUACUAUAGCUUGACACUGAACAUUGAGCCUUGAUGUGUAGGAUAGGUGGGAGGCUUUGAAGUGUGGACGCCAGUCUGCAUGGAGCCGACCUUGAAAUACCACCCUUUAAUGUUUGAUGUUCUAACGUUGGCCCGUAAUCCGGGUUGCGGACAGUGUCUGGUGGGUAGUUUGACUGGGGCGGUCUCCUCCUAAAGAGUAACGGAGGAGCACGAAGGUUGGCUAAUCCUGGUCGGACAUCAGGAGGUUAGUGCAAUGGCAUAAGCCAGCUUGACUGCGAGCGUGACGGCGCGAGCAGGUGCGAAAGCAGGUCAUAGUGAUCCGGUGGUUCUGAAUGGAAGGGCCAUCGCUCAACGGAUAAAAGGUACUCCGGGGAUAACAGGCUGAUACCGCCCAAGAGUUCAUAUCGACGGCGGUGUUUGGCACCUCGAUGUCGGCUCAUCACAUCCUGGGGCUGAAGUAGGUCCCAAGGGUAUGGCUGUUCGCCAUUUAAAGUGGUACGCGAGCUGGGUUUAGAACGUCGUGAGACAGUUCGGUCCCUAUCUGCCGUGGGCGCUGGAGAACUGAGGGGGGCUGCUCCUAGUACGAGAGGACCGGAGUGGACGCAUCACUGGUGUUCGGGUUGUCAUGCCAAUGGCACUGCCCGGUAGCUAAAUGCGGAAGAGAUAAGUGCUGAAAGCAUCUAAGCACGAAACUUGCCCCGAGAUGAGUUCUCCCUGACUCCUUGAGAGUCCUGAAGGAACGUUGAAGACGACGACGUUGAUAGGCCGGGUGUGUAAGCGCAGCGAUGCGUUGAGCUAACCGGUACUAAUGAACCGUGAGGCUUAACCUU